rnacentral:misc_RNA from 1 species
GUAAAGAAGAUGUGUUAGGUUUACAACGCUCUUCUCAGCAUUGUAUUGAAGUUUGUUUAGAUAGAGGCGGUUUUGGAACCUCACCUGAUGUACUCUUUCAAAUAUUCUGUGAUAUUACAAUGUUGCCCUUAGUGAUUGCAUGUGACCUGUUUUGCGGGAGAAGCGGACCUUACGACGCUGAAUAGGAAAAUUAGUUUGAACUAAUAUUAUAUCACAUGGAGUUUCAAGGGGUGGAUAAGGUAGCAGUCUAACUGCCUGUCAGGGUAUCAUAUGGAAGUGUAUAUCAGGUGUAUCAAAUCCGUACACCACAUACCUAAUCAAUCCUUUUUUUAGGACAGCCGUGUUUCUGUUUCAUUGACAACGAAUAGCGGCGGAUAAAGCCAGCACUAAUCGGAAUUGAGGGUUUGGAUCAAGGUUACAUCAGGAAGGUUUUGCUUUCAUAUUUUCUUUGCGAAUCCAUGGUUAACCCCGUGUUUUGAUCGGUAUGAAAAAGUUGUCCAACGGGAAAGUACAGAAACCUUUAUUCAACAUUUGAUAAAAUGAAUUGAUGGAAAUCUGGCACCGUUAUGAAAUUCAUCUUCUCCGGAAGAAGAAGCACGUGCUGCGACGUCAUCACGGAGACAAUGACAUGUAUUCUACGACUUGUUUUUAUUGAUUUUUCAAAGUCCGUCUUUGUCUUUUUCUGCUUUGGAUCCAUUAGUAUAUCCUCCGAAAAAUCAUUCACCUCCUUCUAAACUCUCUUCAUGCAUGUCUGUUUUAUGAUCCAAAGCAGUUGGUACAAAUCUGAAGCAAUGGAUCUCGCAAAGAUUCGGAUUCAAAUUCUUUGCAGAUUAAUAUUUCGCUAUACACAGACAACAUGAUGUGUGUUGAUCCUUAUAUGUCAUUGUGUCUGGUUUGUUCCAUGUAACCAUUUUUUGGAGUAUUGUUU